GCUCUUGUUUGCCUCUCUAAUGGGUCCGCUUUUUUCAGCAGGAGAGCGAAGUGUGAUUCGCUCGCAGCUUCCAUGACUUUUGCUUUGUAUUUGGACACAUGGAAGCACUUCCAGGCGAGGAGAAGCACGAGAAAGUGAAGUGUUUUCUGUCAGUGUGUGUAAAUGGGGAAGCCGGACUGUUGUGUUUCGUACGGCGUUCGUUGAUGGGAUGCUUUGACCUUGUUAACUGUUCCAUGAAAUGCGUCUUUGGAAGCUCGUAAAGCUCCUCCAACAGGAAAACCACUGUUAGACAACAGGACGGUCUUUGUGUGUAAAAUGGCAACGCUAGAGUCCAUAAUCUCUCUUUUCAUGUGAAUCCUCAGCUGUGAGCAAACAAAGCUUGCUUGAAGAUGGAGAAGACGUGAAGUCGACGCGUCCGUGACGUGAUUGGCUGAAAGUCAGCGUGACUUCCUGUUCAUCUAUGAGAAGCUAAACAUUGCCCUCUCCUGGAUAUAUGACUGGAAUCUGGCGCUUGAUGAGCCUCUCGAGAAGCGCCGGGCUGCGGUCCAGGAGCGCGAGUCUCUGUCUAGACACACAGGUGCAGAUCUCUGCUGCGUCACAGCGAGCACCGCUCCGGCGGGACACACCCUGUCCCACACUGACUUCAGCGAGAACAAACCCAAGCUGAAGCUGCGGCCAGAAACAGACUCGGGUGCCUGCCAGAUCACGGCUCACACUACAGCUGAGGCCUUAUGAUUGGGAAGUUUGGGUUUGUUCAGAUUCAUAACCGUGUCCGGACAGAGAAGAAAACUGGAAGAGUCACAAAACUGGUUUGGGUUACUAAACAUUGCCUGCUUCCAGUAAACAGGAAGGAUUACUGCUGUCAGGCACGGUACGUCUCUACAAACCACAUGCUUUU